rnacentral:rRNA from 5 species
UCCGUAGGUGAACCUGCGGAAGGAUCAUUACCGAGUGCGGGCUGCCUCCGGGCGCCCAACCUCCCACCCGUGACUACCUAACACUGUUGCUUCGGCGGGGAGCCCUCUCGGGGGCGAGCCGCCGGGGACUACUGAACUUCAUGCCUGAGAGUGAUGCAGUCUGAGUCUGAAUAUAAAAUCAGUCAAAACUUUCAACAAUGGAUCUCUUGGUUCCGGCAUCGAUGAAGAACGCAGCGAACUGCGAUAAGUAAUGUGAAUUGCAGAAUUCAGUGAAUCAUCGAGUCUUUGAACGCACAUUGCGCCCCCUGGCAUUCCGGGGGGCAUGCCUGUCCGAGCGUCAUUGCUGCCCAUCAAGCCCGGCUUGUGUGUUGGGUCGUCGUCCCCCCCGGGGGACGGGCCCGAAAGGCAGCGGCGGCACCGUGUCCGGUCCUCGAGCGUAUGGGGCUUUGUCACCCGCUCGAUUAGGGCCGGCCGGGCGCCAGCCGACGUCUCCAACCAUUUUCUUCAGGUUGACCUCGGAUCAGGUAGGGAUACCCGCUGAACUUAAGCAUAUCAAUAAGCGGAGGA